AACGAACGCUGGCGGCAUGCCUAACACAUGCAAGUCGAACGAAGGCUUCGGCCUUAGUGGCGCACGGGUGCGUAACGCGUGGGGAUCUGCCCUUUGCUUCGGAAUAACAGUUAGAAAUGACUGCUAAUACCGGAUGAUGUCGUAAGAACAAAGAUUUAUCGGCAAAGGAUGAACCCGCGUAGGAUUAGCUAGUUGGUGGGGUAAAGGCCUACCAAGGCGACGAUCCUUAGCAGGUCUGAGAGGAUGAUCAGCCACACUGGGACUGAGACACGGCGCAGACUCCUACGGGAGGCAGUAGUGGGGAAUAUUGGACAAUGGGCGAAAGCCUGAUCCAGCAAUGCCGCGUGAGUGAUGAAGGCCUUAGGGUUGUAAAGCUCUUUUACCCGGGAUGAUAAUGACAGUACCGGGAGAAUAAGCUCCGGCUAACUCCGUGCCAGCCGCCGCAGUAAGAC
rnacentral:rRNA from 1 species